AACGCACCUUGCGCUCUCUGGUAUUCCGGAGAGCAUGCCUGUUUGAGUGUCAUGAACUCUUCAACCCACCAGUUUCUUGUUAGACUGUGUUGGUGUUUGGUUUCUGAACGUUGCUGGUUCCUCGUGAACGCGAGCUCGUUUAAAAUACAUUAGCAUCUCAAUUUCGAAACUUGGAUUGACUCAGCGUAAUAGACUAUUCGCUGAGGACACCUUUCAUUAGGUGGCCACGUUAGAUAACGACCGAUGCUCAUAGCACUCCAUCUAGUCAUUUUUUUAAGAUUAGACCUCAGAUCAGGCAGGAUUACCCGCUGAACUUAA
rnacentral:misc_RNA from 2 species